AGGUAAAUGAAAUCCUGUCUCAUUCUUCUGUGUGGAGUGCCUUCAAGGAUCAGAAACAUGACUUGUUCAUUUCUGAGACGCAAACAGCAGGAUACCUCACAGGCCCUGGAGUUGCUGGUUACCUUACUGCAGGGACGACAUCAUCUGUAAUGCCCAACGUACCACCCCCCGUAGACAAUGAAGUGGGAGAUGUCAGCUAAGGACUGGAAAUUCUUGUGAAAGAGAAAGAAGGGCAGACUGGCCAAUGACGAGGAAGAGCGCUUUCCUCCAACACACUGAAGUGAACUUACUGCCUUUCCAAAUGUUUAAUGACAGUGUUAUUCCAUUUUUUUCUAUGACUGUUUGGUUUUUUUUAGGAAAAAGUCAGUGAUUCUAACUAUCACACUGUAACACAAGAAAGCACUCUGUGGAUCAGCUGAAAUGGGUACACAAGAAUUUUUUCUUGUUGUACAUAAGCACAUUUUGUUCCUUUAUAUUUGUUUACAAGACUGUGAAUCAAACUUUCCUAGUUUUUAUAUUUUAUGAAUUAGCAUGACUGGAGUUGAGCUACAGUCUAGAAGAACUGGGCUAAAAUCACUUUGACCUCACUAAUCCCCCCCUAAAAGGGCAUCCCUUCUUUUCCCAGUCUGACGUGAUCAUUCCCAUUGAACACGACUUGCAAAGGGUUUUUCCCCAUACCAGUUCACUGAUGUCCUUAAUCAUUAUCUUCUUCCUGAGAUCAAACAGCAUUAGAGGUUUGUAUGUAUAACUGGCUUGACCAAAUUGACAAAGCUUCAGCAAAAAAAAAAAAAACUUUAAGCUCACAUGUUAUGUAAGAAAUUAGUGUAAUUGUGAAAUGUUCUAUACUUUAUCCAGUAUAUAAAAACUUUCUAUAUUGAGUGUACAUUAUACAGAUCAUUCAUAUGUACAUAAAAUUUUAAAAUAAAGGGAAUUAAGAGCCUUGUUAAUGAGA